rnacentral:rRNA from 1 species
UUAGGCGCUGCCUAGUGGCGGACGGGUGAGUAACGCGUCGAGCAACCUGCCCUGCGACUGGGGACGAACAGACUGGAAACGGCUGCUAAUACCGCGAUAGGCGCACAGCCCCGCAUGGGGCGGUGUGGAAAGUAAUAUGGUGCAGGAUGGGCUCGCGUCUGAUUAGCUUGUUGCGGGGUAACGGCCCACCAAGGCGACGAUCAGUAGCCGGCCUGAGAGAGUGGACGGCCACAUUGGGACUGAGACACGGCCCAGACUCCUACGGGAGGCAGCAGUGGGGGAUAUUGCACAAUGGGGGGAACCCUGAUGCAGCGACGCCGCGUGGGCGAUGGAGUACUUCGGUAUGUAAAGCCCUAUCAGCAGGGAAGAAAAUGACGGUACCUGACUAAGAAGCCCCGGCUAAAUACGUG